UACAGAGGGUGCGAGCGUUGUCCGGAAUCACUGGGCGUAAAGGGCGCGUAGGUGGCCUGGUAAGUAGGGGGUGAAAUCUCGAGGCUCAACUUCGAGGCUGCCUCCUAAACUGUCAGGCUCGAGCAGAGUAGAGGCAGGUGGAAUUCCCGGUGUAGCGGUGAAAUGCGUAGAUAUCUGGAGGAACACCGGUGGCGAAGGCGGCGUUCUGGACUGUUACUGACACUGAGGAACGAAAGCCAGGGGAGCAAACGGG
rnacentral:rRNA from 1 species